rnacentral:rRNA from 1 species
AACGAACGCUGGCGGCAUGCCUAACACAUGCAAGUCGAACGAGACCUUCGGGUCUAGUGGCGCACGGGUGCGUAACACGUGGGAAUCUGCCCUUCGGUUCGAAAUAACAGUUAGAAAUGACUGCUAAUAUCGGAUGACGACGUAAGUCCAAAGAUUUAUCGCCGAAGGAUGAGCCCGCGUAGGAUUAGGUAGUUGGUGGGGUAAUGGCCUACCAAGCCGACGAUCCUUAGCUGGUCUGAGAGGAUGAUCAGCCACACUGGGACUGAGACACGGCCCAGACUCCUACGGGAGGCAGCAGUGGAGAAUAUUGGACAAUGGGCGAAAGCCUGAUCCAGCAAUGCCGCGUGAGUGAUGAAGGCCUUAGGGUUGUAAAGCUCUUUUACCAGGGAUGAUAAUGACAGUACCUGGAGAAUAAGCUCCGGCUAACUCCGUGCCAGCAGCCGCCGUAA